UGCGCAUUCGCCGAGCGGCAAGGCAGCAACACUUUUAAUGUUGUUAUACGUUGGCUCGAAUCCAACAUGCGCAG
rnacentral:tRNA from 1 species